GCCCAGAUAGCUCAGUCGGUAGAGCAGUGGAUUGAAAAUCCUCGUGUCGGUGGUUCGAUUCCGCCUCUGGGCA
rfam:Spongiibacter sp. IMCC21906, complete genome.